AUUAUUAAUUAUUACGAAACGAAUACUGAUACCGGUAGUUCUGAUUUUUUGUCCUCGUGCCUAAAAAAAGUAUCAAAUUUAAUAUUCUUGAUAUGUCCAUGAAAAUGUCAUUAUUCUGUGACAAAUCUGACUGAGAAAGACGCGUAUACGCUGAAAUAGCAUAAGAUAUAAAACUGAAGCACUUCUUCUUCGCCUGCCUCUUCUUCAAGAUUUAAGCUGACCCUGGGCUUCUAAGCGUCAUAGCCGUAGAUACAUCCGGACUCUCUGUGAAAGAGAGAAGAGGAAGCCAUACACUAUUAUAUACAUAUUGGAAUUAAUAAAGUAUGAACGUGGAGCACUUCAAAAAGGGCCUAGUAUUGCAGAUUGCAGAGUGCUUCAAAAUUGCCUCAGUCAUACAGUGGUAAACAAUUCUUAUAAUCCAGUGAUGUGGGGCAGAUCUAUCGGACUUCGAAGAAGAUAUUCACCCAAGUUUUAUUUACUGCUAAUAAUAUUUUGUUCACUUGUGUGUGUGUACUUCUUCUAUCCAGAUGAAGUACACGUGGUUCAAGUGUAAGUUUUUGUUUUAUUUAUGCUCUCCUUUGUUCAUCUUUUUCUUUGCGUGUCGACAGUAAAUCAACGCUCUAUUGAGUGCUAAAUAUAUUAUUGCCAGAACAGAGCCACUUCGGUCCAAACGUCUGUACUCGGGCUGACUUGUUGGCAGCUUCCGAUGAAGCCAUCAAAGUGGCUCGGUUCUUCCUUGUUUAUUUUCUUGGCUCCGUCCGCCGCCGCGCCGCCAUUGCUUGAUAAAUCGUAAUUAUAACGUGAUGUGAUCAUUAUAAUACGUGUGCCUAAAUUUAAUUAU